ACGUUCCUACGGGGCGCAGCAGUGAGGAAUAUUGGUCAAUGGGCGGAAGCCUGAACCAGCCAAGUCGCGUGAGGGAAGAAGGCCCUGCGGGUCGUAAACCUCUUUUGUCAGGGAGCAAUGGCGUCCACGUGUGGGCGUAUGGAGAGUACCUGAAGAAAAAGCAUCGGCUAACUCCGUGCCAGCAGCCGCGGUAAUACGGAGGAUGCGAGCGUUAUCCGGAUUUAUUGGGUUUAAAGGGUGCGUAGGCGGGACCUUAAGUCAGCGGUAAAAUUGCGGUGCUCAACGCCGUAGAGCCGUUGAAACUG
rnacentral:rRNA from 1 species